CUGGAGGCCCUAGGGGAGAACCUGUUUCCUCGUCUUUUCCAGCUUCCAGAGGCCACCCACAUUCCUUGGCUCAUGGCCCCUUCCUCCAUCUUCAGAGCCAGCAACAGCAGGGAGAAGUGAAAACGUGGAGAUUUGUGCUCACCUGUUUUGGCUUCAGAAUCACCCAGCCAGCUAAGAAUCCGGCCAGGUGGGACACUGCGGAACGUGGUAGCAGACAGAGUCAAAAGAUGAAAGUGGUGUUUCUGAUCACUUUCCUUUUGGUCACAGCUCACUGCGCACCAGUCCAAGAAUUUCAUCCUGCAAUUCUCUAUCAUCAGUUCUUGCACUGGAAGCAACUUCAGAGGUUAUAUAAACUCUUGAAUAACUGUAGGAAACCACCAAUGAACAGAAGAACUACCAUGGUCCCCACGCCACCAUUUCCACCAAUAACAGAAAUUGCUCCUCCUUUGACUUCUAACCCACCAGUCCCUCCUACCCCCGACCAGCGGGGAGAUUCACUAUUCACGAAGUUCUGAAGGAACUCAUUAGCCCAAUGCA
rnacentral:lncRNA from 1 species